rnacentral:rRNA from 1 species
UACGUAGGGUGCAAGCGUUGUCCGGAAUUAUUGGGCGUAAAGAGCUCGUAGGCGGUUUGUUGCGUCGGCUGUGAAAUCCCGAGGCUCAACCUCGGGUCUGCAGUCGAUACGAGCGAACUUGAGUGUUGCAGGGGAGACUGGAAUUCCUGGUGUAGCGGUGAAAUGCGCAGAUAUCAGGAGGAACACCGGUGGCGAAGGCGGAUCUCUGGGCCUUGCCUGACGCUGAGGCGCGAAAGCUAGGGGAGCGAACAGG